rnacentral:rRNA from 1 species
UACGUAGGGGGCUACCGUUGUCCGGAAUCAUUGGGCGUAAAGAGCGUGUAGGCGGUCCGGUAAGUCCGCUGUGAAAGUCGGGGGCUCAACCCUCGAAUGCCGGUGGAUACUGUCGGGCUAGAGUGCGGAAGAGGCGAGUGGAACUCCUGGUGUAGCGGUGAAAUGCGCAGAUAUCAGGAGGAACACCUAUUGCGAAGGCAGCUCGCUGGGACGUAACUGACGCUGAGACGCGAAAGCGUGGGGAGCAAGCAGG